GAACAGGAGUUUCAAGCAUUGCUGAAGAAUGACACCUGGCAGCUUGUUCCUCCAGUGUCUGGGGUCAAUAUCAUUGACUCUAAGUGGGUGUUUAAAGUUAAACGGCAUGCUGAUGGCUCCAUUGAGCGUUACAAGGCAAGGUUAGUGGCUAAGGGAUUCAAACAGAGGUAUGGUCUUGACUAUGAAGACACGUUUAGUCCAGUUAUCAAGCCUACUACCAUUCGUCUGCUACUAUCCCUUGCUGUUACUCGAGGAUGGUUUCUCCGUCAACUUGAUGUGCAGAACGCUUUUUUGCAUGGACUUCUGGAGGAGGAGGUUUAUAUGCGUCAGCCACCCGAAUUUGUGGAUCCUGCACGUCCUAAUUAUCUCUGUCAUCUUUUUAAGGCGCUCUAUGGUCUUAAGCAGGCUCCCCGUGCCUGG
rnacentral:rRNA from 1 species